CCUACGGGGGGCAGCAGUGAGGAAUAUUGGUCAAUGGGCGGGAGCCUGAACCAGCCAAGUCGCGUGAGGGACGACGGUCCUAUGGAUUGUAAACCUCUUUUGUCGGGGAACAAAGGCGCCCACGGGUGGGCGGAUGAGUGUACCCGAAGAAAAAGCAUCGGCUAACUCCGUGCCAGUAGCCGCGGUAAUACGGAGGAUGCGAGCGUUAUCCGGAUUUAUUGGGUUUAAAGGGUGCGUAGGCGGACAGUCAAGUCAGCGGUAAAAAUGCGGUGCUCAACGCCGUACAGCCGUUGAAACUGGCUGUCUUGAGAUGUCGAGAGGUAUGCGGAAUGCGCAGUGUAGCGGUGAAAUGCUUAGAUAUUGCGCAGAACUCCGAUUGCGAAGGCAGCAUACCGGCGGCGAUCUGACGCUGAGGCACGAAAGCGUGGGUAUCGAACAGGAUUAGAUACCCGUGUAGUC
rnacentral:rRNA from 1 species